rnacentral:tRNA from 1 species
GGUUUGUGGCUCAGUGGGAGAGUGCUCGCCUAGCACAUGUGAGGCACUGGGUUCCAUCCUCAGCACCA